rnacentral:sRNA from 1 species
AGCGGGCGGAGGCGGCCCAGCGGCGGCAGGUGAGGCGGAACCAACCCUCCUGGCCAUGGGAGGGGCCGUGGUGGACGAGGGCCCCACAGGCGUCAAGGCCCCCGACGGCGGCUGGGGCUGGGCCGUGCUCCUCGGCUGCUUUGUCAUCACUGGCUUCUCCUACGCCUUCCCCAAGGCCGUCAGUGUCUUCUUCAAGGAGCUCAUGCAGGAGUUUGGGAUCGGCUACAGCGACACAGCCUGGAUCUCCUCCAUCCUGCUGGCCAUGCUCUACGGGACAGGUCCGCUCUGCAGCGUGUGCGUGAACCGCUUUGGCUGCCGGCCCGUCAUGCUUGUGGGGGGCCUCUUUGCGUCGCUGGGCAUGGUGGCUGCGUCCUUUUGCCAGAGCAUCAUCCAAGUCUACCUCACCACUGGGGUCAUCACUGGUGAGUGGGGCUGGCUGGUGGGCCGCAGAUGCCAGGUGGGGCAGGGGCCGUGCAUUUCUGCUCCUGGGCCCGGGCCUCUGGAGGACAGCAGGGUGGGUGGCUGCGGGGUGUCCCGGCCCCACCUCGUUGUCCCCCUCUCGAGUGGGUGGGUGGCAGGGGCUCUGCACACUGGGAGCCGGAGCCUGUGGGAACCUGGGGGCAGAGAUGAGGGUCUCAGGCUUUGGGGGCAGCCUUGGGGGGCUCUCACCACAUUCCCUUUCCUUCAGGGUUGGGUUUGGCGCUCAACUUCCAGCCCUCGCUCAUCAUGCUGAACCGCUACUUCAGCAAGCGGCGCCCCAUGGCCAACGGGCUGGCGGCAGCAGGUAGCCCCGUCUUCCUGUGUGCCCUGAGCCCGCUGGGGCAGCUGCUGCAGGACCACUACGGCUGGCGGGG